CAGAAAGGGAAAUGCCACGCUCAGGCGCUUCCCUCUACAUCAAGACCCUGAAGGCCAUGGACACAAUGCUGAGGACACUGGUGCUCAGCUUUCCUGUCUCCAGUGUCAGCCAGGAGCUGCAGGACAUCUUUGAGAUGCUGCUGGACUUCACCAAGUCUGAGAGAGAAGUUGUGCAGGAGAGGGCUCUGGGGAGGAUCGGUGUCCUUACUUAUUUGAUGUCCAAC